CCAGACUCCUACGGGAGGCAGCAGUGGGGAAUAUUGCACAAUGGGGGAAACCCUGAUGCAGCGACGCCGCGUGAGUGAAGAAGUAAUUCGUUAUGUAAAGCUCUAUCAGCAGGGAAGAAAAUGACGGUACCUGAGUAAGAAGCCCCGGCUAACUACGUGCCAGCAGCCGCGGUAAUACGUAGGGGGCAAGCGUUAUCCGGAUUUACUGGGUGUAAAGGGAGCGUAGACGGCUAUGCAAGUCUGGAGUGAAAGGUGGGGGCCCAACCCCCGGACUGCUCUGGAAACUGUAGAGCUAGAGUGCAGGAGAGGUAAGUGGAAUUCCUAGUGUAGCGGUGAAAUGCGUAGAUAUUAGGAGGAACACCGGUGGCGAAGGCGGCCUGCUGGACUGCGACUGACGUUGAGGCCCGAAAGCGUGGGGAGCAAACAGGAUUAGAUACCCUUGUACU
rnacentral:rRNA from 1 species